rnacentral:tRNA from 1 species
UAAAAAGAUAAGCUAAUAAAGCUUUUAGGUUCAUACCCUAACUAUAAAGGUUUUAAUCCUUUUCUUUUUAA